rnacentral:rRNA from 1 species
GACGAACGCUGGCGGCGUGCUUAACACAUGCAAGUCGUGGGCACCAGCAAUGGUGACCGGCGAACGGGUGCGUAACACGUGAGCGACCUACCGAUUUGUGGGGGAUAGCCGGCCCAACGGCCGGGUAAUACCGCAUACGCCGAGCUUGCCGCAUGGCUUGCUCGGGAAACCUCCGGGGCAAAUCGAGGGGCUCGCGGCCUAUCAGCUAGUUGGCGAGGUAAUGGCUCACCAAGGCGACGACGGGUAGCUGGUCUGAGAGGAUGGCCAGCCACAUUGGGACUGAGAAACGGCCCAGACUCCUACGGGAGGCAGCAGUGGGGAAUCUUGCGCAAUGGCCGAAAGGCUGACGCAGCGACGCCGCGUGUGGGA